rnacentral:lncRNA from 1 species
CACCUGGUUUUAAGUCUGGUGUCCAGGGCAGGUGGCCCAGGGAAAUAGCAUCCCCUUCAUGAGAUCAGACUGGCUUCUCCCUACCUUGCUGGGUAAGUGCCAAGGCCCUGCUCAGCCAUGGCAGCAUGUGACAUGCUGAGCCCAGUCUGCCCUAUGCUCACAGAGGGCAGCUCUUAACUAGAUGAGCCAAGCUCACAAUCUCAUCUCUCAGCUGCACUUGGCUUACAAACGGGCCUUCUCACAUCAGAGACAAAAGGCUCCCACCAGGGGCACUGGGCCAGCUGCUCUCAUUCUGAAAACAGAGAGGAAGGGUGUCUUUUCCAGCCCCAGCAAGGUAGGUAAGCACUCUGCUGGGAGACUUAGUAGAUCUGAGUGCCCAAGCAGCAGUAAGAGCUAACCACUGGGACUCAUAGCUGAGAUCACUCCAAGAGGGAAACCAAAUAGUCUAGAAGACUCAACUGUCAUGCGGCUCGAGGGAACAGGCCAAAGCCUACUUACAACAACCUGGGCAUUCACAUCCAAAAUAUAUGCAUAAUGUUAAUAAGUAACUAAAAGAAUUUGUGUGCUAUUAAACUUUUUGUCAUGCUCCUUUGGGUAAAAUCAAGAUCAGAGAGAGAAAUCUGAAUGGGCUUGAUAGAUACAGAUAGGAUCAGCCUGGGAUUUGGCAGAAUGUUGGUAAGAUCGGUUGCCUGCAAUGCACUGAAUAUGCUCAGUUAUGGAGUGGAACUGCCUUAUUUCAGAAUUACAUGAUGCUUGAGGGCUCACAAUUAUCUGAAAGAAAAAACCCCAGGAAUAAGAUGUCAACAACUUCAUUUUUGUAGCCCAUAUUGAUGACUGUGAAAAACUCUUUGGCAUCAAUAAAACUUGAGUGAUUGCCUUUUCCAAUUGUCCCAAAUGAGAAGCAGACCCAAACAGGCACAUUUCUGCCAAGGGAGAGUUCUCUUAAUUAUCCCUGAACCUCAUUUGCUAUAGGUUUAGUAAACAACCAGAGCCCUUCCUCUCUCUCCAUGGCUCCAUGUACACACACAUGCUCACGUGAACAUGCAUCUGCACACACUUGUAUAAAAUAAACGCCUAUGAAGAUAAACUAGUGGGGCCAGGCUGACUGGGGAAAAAAAUGACCAGUGGAUUUGCUAGGUAAAAAUAUGGGCAGUGCACAGGACAGAUAUAAGAUCUUUGCCAAAAGCUUUAUCACAUGGGGCCAGUUUGCUAAGAGGUCUUUCAGCCUUUGUGUUUGGAUAAAUGAGGGUUUAAAUUACUCAAAGUGACUUGCCUUCUAAAACCACACAGAAUUCUUCUUUUUGCAAAAAAACCUCAAGACUCCUAAAUCUCUAGAAGUAAAAAAGCCAUGUCCCUUGGGACUAAAAUAGAAAGAAAAGGAGGCAGCAGCCAAGAACAUUAUUUCCAUUGUACAGGGGACCGCCUCCCUGUUCACAUCCCUGUUGUGAUUUGUAAAGAGGGUUAAGGGUCCAGCUUACCCCACCAAGAUUAAAAACUUGAGGCUAAGAGGUGGCUGCCUGGAGCUGGGGCUGAGCAGGGCUAAGAAGAGCUUAUGUCCUUUCUGAACCAUGCCAAGGAUGCCAUUCCCUUGGUGCUGAAAUCCAAGGAGCCAAAGAUAAUUUUCCAAAAGACUGUAUUUUCUAAGGGCAGAAGGUGAGGGAACAAAUGAUGGUCCAUCUCCCUGAGGGUUUUGAAGAUUAUUAGAUUACCAUACAUUCUGACAUGAUGUAGUAUUUGGACUAAAGAGUAGAAGCCUGAAUCAAAAGCAAUUUUGUUGAGUUUGGAUGUUGGGGAAGCUAUUUCUCUUCUCCCAACCAGACUAUUUUCUUCUUGUAUUGAUUCAUUACAUCUCCAAGCCCUAACACUUUUACCAUAUGACUUCUAUUACUCUCUUUUUAUACCCAAAUCCCCUUAUUGGGAUCAACUGUUGGUCAAACAAGUCCAAGUACCAUGACAGGGACAAUCUCAGGCUGUGACCCCAAGCCAGUACUGGUCCUUUUCCCCAACAGCAUUCUUUUCUCCUCUGCUCUCACUCUCUCAUGGCAUUUGGCGUCAAAUGAACCCACGUAAGCUUCUGCCCCCCUUUUACUAAUACUGGGGGCUUAGGUAAGUAUGACUCUCAGAGCUUGUUUUCUCAUAUGUGAAAGAAAAUCCUCCAGUGAGGAUUAAAUGAUGUGGUCAAUGAGGUUAAUGAGAGAAUCAGAGUAGGACUCUCUGAAUCACACAAGCCCUUUAAAAGCAGAGCGUUUUCUCUGGCCUCAAGUGGCAUGUCAGCCUGCGAGCUCCAAGGGGCUCAUUUCAUUAAACUUCAACACAAAGCUUCACAGAAAAGGCUCAAGACAGGCCCCCCACUCCCUGUAAGGGAGUCAGCCAAGACCACUGGAUAGCCCUCUUUCCAAAUAAGUAAAAAUAUGGAACACGGUGGCAUACGUUUGUUUAAAAUCUGACCCUUUUUAAAAAAAGAUUGCCAUUGUUUUCUUAAAUUCACUUUCCUUCCUUUGCUUCCUGUACCUAAAGAAAGUUCACACUCGCAUACUCGAAACACAUCACUACACGGAAUGUGCAUGAGGUCAUCCCACGAGGACCUCUUGUGCAGGGGAAUUCCAAGUCACAGGCCAGGUCUCCACUAGAAGCCAUUGCCAAUCUUAACCACUGUCCAGCCCGCUAACAGGGAGACCAACCCCACCAUCUUCAGCAUGUGCACUGAAUGAUGGAGGAAGCUGUGCUGCAAGANGAAAAAGAGAAGAACAGAAGGAUCUGUCCACUGACGAGUCUUCCAGACAGUGAUUUCAAUGGUUCUGAAUUGUCUGAGAUAACAUUCGUCCUAUGUGUUUAUCUUUCCCUUACAGAUUUUUAAAUUCUAGUGAAUAAAUGGCUUUUAAAUGGUUUUCUGUAAAGAUAAACAAUUAACCUCCAGAAAGAGGAAAAGGCAUUAAUGAAUGCAAAUAACUAUAUUCCAUUUAUAAUUUUGGAUUGGAAGAAAGGCCAAGGAUACUUGUAUUUUUUUGUGUACUCAUAUCCCUUCCACUUAACAACAAAUUCUUCAACAUCUUUUUCCAUUUUCUCCUGCUACCUACUCAUAUUUGUGUUCAAAUGUCAUCUUUUUGGUGUAGAUGUUCUCUCCACUCCUCUCCCUCCCAAUAAGAAUCAGCUAUUCUCCAUUGAUGGCUUCAUUUACCACAGCUACAACAUUAUCCUCUAGUUAUCUCUGUAAAUCUGUAAAUCUGGAGUCACUCAAGUAGUUCAUAAAGACCUGUAAUGUUAAUAUCACAGGAUGGCUACUGGUCCUGGAAAGAAGAAAAAAUUAACAUUUGAAAAUUACAUGACAGAGAAAUUCUAGAUGCUGGGAGAGUGAGCUGGUCAUGGUAUAGCUUGAUCAAGGCAGUAUAUUGAAUGAAUCUUUCUCAAAAGAACAUAUCAAGUUAUUGGAAAGCAAGAAGCAGAUGAUCUGUUGGAUUAUAAGGAUGUGUGUAGGCUCCUCAGGUGGAUAAGUCACAUUCAUUCCUGCAUCACACGGGCCAGGGCUAACCGAACACUAACUUCUCAGUCUGGCGCACUUCGUGGAUGUUUGCAUGGUCCCUUCCAUGAAAGCAAAGCUACAGCCAGAAGGGGAAAAUUGCAAUUCCAAGAAGGAAUUUUCCUGAGAAGGAACUUGAUAGAGAAGUAGUUUCUCUGGGGCUGACUUUAAAAAUCUGCACCACAGUGGUCUCUUCACCCAUCCAACCAUCUGACAUUUAGCAAGCACCUACUGUAUGUUAGGGCAAUGCUAGGUUCUGGGAAUAGAGUGCAAAUUUCCCAAUUCUUGGUGCCUACACUCUUCUAAAGGAAGAAAUUGUGGUGCCUACAAUCUUCUAAAGAAGGUCUUGUUGAAAAAAGCUUUUUUUACAUCCAAGGAGGAAAGAACAAAGAAAACAAGUGAAACAUGAGAGAGAGAGAACCUCUGUGGGAAGUCUGAGUGUUCAUCAAAGGUAAAAGCAAAAGCCAGUCCUCCCAGAAAGCCCUGGGCAGGGUCCCUCUGGUGGUGGCCCCAGGGACUACAGCUGGAAAAUGAUUAUCCUGGGAUUUAACCCUGAGUGUUGCCCCAGUGCUCUGACCCAACAGGCAGAGCCAAGACCACUAAAGUAUGACAUUUGUAUACAAAGAGUCACCAUUGAGAGGCUAUCUAGGCAGGGAGAUGCCUUUGCUGGAAGCUUUUUUUCAGAAACACAGUUGGGAAAGAAUUCCUUGCCAGUGCUUGAGACACCCAAGCCAAAACAUUAACUUUACACAAAAUGAAUUUAUUAGGAAGCUGGGGGAAAGGGAGACAUUGGGGACACAUAAGAAAAGAAGGAGGAGCCAACUCUACUCUAUUUGGGGAGGAAAGAAUAGAGGUUUCAGAGAAGGAGUAAAUGUAUAGUUAAAGCUAGAAGAAUAAUAUGCAUCUGUCAUGUAAAACAGGAUGGGGUAAGAGAAAUCUUGGCAGAGAAAACUGUAUUAACAAAAACAUGGCAAGAUGAAGUGUGGCCAGAGCAUGGGCUUUGAGAAAAGACACUGUAAGAAAUAAGAUUGGAAAGAUGGAGAGGGCCAGACCUCAGGGGCCUUAUAGGACGUACUGGGAAGUUUGUAUUUCAUUAGAAAUUCAAACUGUUAAAGAGAAUGAUCUCAUACCCCCUACGGGUCUUAGGUCAUAGCCAAAAGGGAACCCUGUGCACAUGAUUUAUUUAAAAUAUCUUAAAAUAUUCCAAUUUUAUCUUCUACUUUAUAAUAAAUUGAUACUUGUUUUAACAUUUUUAAAUAGUUCUAAUCGUCAAGUAAAAUUGAUAACUCUGAGCAACAGACAACAUCUCUCAAGAAGUUUCAAGUGUCCUGGAACCCAAAAAAGUACCCCCCCCAGGAGGGGGGGUGUCCAUGUAACUCAGUUCGAGAAGAAUAGUUAUUUGGAAUUGGAAAUUUUCAAAGCAUUUUAAGAAUGGAAUGAUUUCAGUGAACUCAGAAUUUCUUUAAGAUGAGAGAACUUCAAUCAAAAGAUUUGGAGUUUGGAGGAGUAGGAAAAUACAAAAGGUGUCAAGGUGGGAGUGUCAGGUUGUGGCGACUGGUAGAAAAUGAGAGUGAAAGAGAAAAAUGGGCCAAUAAGAAGAUGUGGGAUUUGUCUUCAAGGCCCUUCACUUGGGUAAGGAAUGAAGGAGAAUCAAAACAAACACAAGGUGGGGGCAGAACAGGAGGUGCUUGGUGUCAGUCUUGACUGUGGACCAUCCAGUAGGAGAUGUUUGGGAAGACAAUAGAUCCGCUGUUCAGGAGCCAUCUGUGCUAAAGACAAUAUCUGGGAGCCAUUGACCUUGCAAGUGGCCAGAGGGAAAAUGUGGGGCGGAAAGGCCAAGGAGGAAAACCAAUCUAUCUGGGCCUCCAGAUGGGUUGGGAGUAUAGGCAUGGAUCGGAUGUUUUCCUUUCUCCUGCAGAAUCAGUUUAGCAUGGAAGUCAGGAUGGCCACUUACAGCAAUACCAAGCAGAGAAAUGAUCCGCAGUGGGCAAACUCAGGUUUGCCUAAAGCAUAGGAUCAAGUUAAGAAGUCGUGGAAAUUGAGAUUAGAAGAGAGAAGUCAAGGCCAGCUUGUGAACAACCAAGAAGUUUGAAAGGCAAAGGGAAAUGCC